CAUAACAGACACAAGAAGUACAAUGACAUUCAUCAUCAUCUUCUUGAUCUUAGGCAUGUGUUUUCAAGACUCUACAGGACAGGUGACUGUAAUUCAGACUCCAGCAGAUAAACAUGUUCAGAACGGACAAACAGUCACUCUGACCUGUAAAACCAGCAGCGCCAUUGGACGUCAGUCAGACGGUUGGUGUAAGUCUUGUGUCUCCUGGUACCUACAGAAACCUGGAGAAACUCCUAAACGUUUAGUGUACUAUAUUAAAACCCUCCAGUCAGGAACUCCAUCUAGAUUCAGUGGAAAUGGAGCUGAUCAUGGAAGAGAUUUCACUCUGACCAUCAGCGGAGUCCAGAGUGAAGAUACAGGAGAUUAUUACUGUCAGAGUGCACACUGGAUCAACAGUAAACAUGUGUUCACACAGUGAUAAAGAGUGGUACAAAAACCUCCACCAGUCAGAGUCACAGUGACUGCACUGAUACAGAUGA